rnacentral:misc_RNA from 1 species
GAUGAAGAACGCAGCGAAAUGCGAUAAGUAAUGUGAAUUGCAGAAUUCAGUGAAUCAUCGAAUCUUUGAACGCACAUUGCGCCCGCCAGUAUUCUGGCGGGCAUGCCUGUUCGAGCGUCAUUACAACCCCCAGGCCCCCGGGCCUGGCGUUGGGGAUCGGCGGAAGCCCCCUGCGGGCACAACGCCGUCCCCCAAAUACAGUGGCGGUCCCGCCGCAGCUUCCAUUGCGUAGUAGCUAACACCUCGCAACUGGAGAGCGGCGCGGCCACGCCGUAAAACACCCAACUUCUGAAUGUUGACCUCGAAUCAGGUAGGAAUACCCGCUGAACUUAAGCAUAUCAAUAAGCGGAGGA